GAUGGACGCUGGCGGCGUGCCUAAUACAUGCCAGUCGAGCGAACGGACGAGAAGCUUGCUUCUCUGAUGUUAGCGGCGGACGGGUGAGUAACACGUGGAUAACCUACCUAUAAGACUGGGAUAACUUCGGGAAACCGUAGCUAAUACCGGAUAAUAUUUUGAACCGCAUGGUUCAAAAGUGAAAGACGGUCUUGCUGUCACUUAUAGAUGGAUCCGCGCUGCAUUAGCUAGUUGGUAAGGUAACGGCUUACCAAGGCAACGAUGCAUAGCCGACCUGAGAGGGUGAUCGGCCAGACGGGAAGGGAGACACGGUCCAGAAACCUACGGGAGGCAGCAGUAGGGAAUCUUCCGCAAUGGGCGAAAGCAUGACGGAACAACGCCGCGUGAGUGAUGAAGGUCUUCGGAUCGUAAAACUCUGUUAUUAGGGAAGAACAUAUGUGUAAGUAAAUGUGCACAUCUUGACGGUAACUAAUCAGAAAGCCACGGCUAACUACGUG
rnacentral:rRNA from 1 species